GCCGGCGUGGCGAAAUCGGUAGACGCCGGGGACUUAAAAUCCCCUUCUUUCGAGAGUGCGGGUUCGAGUCCCGCCGCCGGCACCA
rnacentral:tRNA from 1 species